rnacentral:rRNA from 2 species
UCAAGCUACUAAGGGCAUACGGUGGAUGCCUUGGCACUAAGAGCCGAUGAAGGACGCGGUAAGCUGCGAAAAGCCACGGGGAACUGCAAGCAAGUCUUGAUCCGUGGAUGUCCGAAUGGGGAAACCCACCAUCCGUCAUGGGAUGGUAUCCUACGGGAGGGGAACCCGGUGAACUGAAACAUCUAAGUAGCCGGAGGAAGAGAAAUCAAACGAGAUGCCCACAGUAGCGGCGAGCGAAGAGGGCAGAGCCUAAACCAGUCAUCUUCGGAUGGUUGGGGUUACGGACCUGCAUCAACCGAGUCCUACCUAGUCGAAUUACCUGGAAAGGUAAGCCAGAGAGCGUAAGAGCCGCGUAGGUGAAAGGAAGGACGAGGGGGCAGGGAUCCAGAGUACCACGAAGCACGAGGAAUUUUGUGGGAAGUCGGGGGGACCACCCUCCAAGGCUAAACACUUCUUAGUGACCGAUAGCGCAUAGUACCGUGAGGGAAAGGUGAAAAGAACCGCGGGAGCGGAGUGAAAGAGAACCUGAAACCGUAUGUCUACAAGCAGUCGGAGCGCAAGCGACGGCGUGCCUAUUGAAGAAUGAGCCAACGAGUUACGGGCACCAGCGAGGUUAAGCAGGAAAUGCGGAGCCGGAGCGAAAGCGAGUCUAAACAGGGCGAAUAGUUGGUGUUCGUAGACCCGAAACUGUAGUGAUCUACCCAUGAUCAGGUUGAAGCGCAGGUAAAAAUGCGUGGAGGACCGAACCGGUGAGCGUUGAAAAGCUUUCGGAUGAAUCGUGGGUAGCGGUGAAAUUCCAAUCGAACGCAGAGAUAGCUGGUUCUCCUCGAAAUAGCUUUAGGGCUAGCCUCAAGCAGUAAGCAUAGGCGGUAGAGCACUGAUCGGGAUAGGGUCCGUAAAGGAUACCGAACCCUGUCAAACUACGAAUGGUUAUGCUGCAGAGCUUGGGAGUCAGACUACGAGAGAUAAGUCCCGUUGUCAAAAGGGAAACAGCCCAGACCGUCAGCUAAGGUCCCCAAUGCCAUACUAAGUGGAAAAGGAUGUGGGGUCUCAUAAACAACCAGGAUGUUGGCUCAGAAGCAGCCACCAUUUAAAGAGUGCGUAAUAGCUCACUGGUCGAGAGGCCCUGCGCCGAAGAUUCCCGGGGCUAAAGUAUGGAACCGAAGCUACGGAUGCGGUACUUGUACCGCGUGGUAGAGGAGCGUUCCCAUUGGGUUGAAGUCGUCCUGGAAGGGACGGUGGACUGGUGGGAAGUGAGAAUGUUGGCAUGAGUAGCGAAAAGAUAGGUGAGAAUCCUAUCCACCGAAAGCAUAAGGAUUCCUGAGCAACGAUCGUCGUCUCAGGGUAAGUCGGGACCUAAUCCGAGGCAUGGAGCGUAGGAGAUGGACAACUGGUUGAUAUUCCAGUACCGGCAGCAAUCGUUUGAACGAUGGAGUGACGCAGGAAGGCAGGUCCGCGCGAGAAUGGUAGAUCGCGUACAAGCGUGCAGGCUGGUGCACAGGCAAAUCCGUGUACUGAGGCUGAGGCGUGAUGUGGAGGGAACUUGUUCCCGAAGGGAUUGAGCCUACGCUGCCGAGAAAAGCUUCUAGUGAGAAAGCUGCCGCCCGUACCGUAAACCGACACAGGUAUGCGGGGAGAGAAUCCUAAGGUGCGCGGGAGAACCCUCGUUAAGGAACUCGGCAAAAUGUACCCGUAACUUCGGGAUAAGGGUAGCCACAGUGGUGAAGGGACUUGCUCCUGGAGCCUAGUGUGGUCGCAGAGAAGAGGCCCAAGCGACUGUUAACCAGAAACACAGGUGCCUGCGAAAGAGAAAUCUGAUGUAUAGGUGCUGACACCUGCCCAGUGCUGGAAGGUUAAAGAAGGAUGUCCGGGUUCGACCCAAAGCAUUUGACUGAAGCCCCAGUGAACGGCGGCCGUAACUAUAACGGUCCUAAGGUAGCGAAAUUCCUUGUCGGGUAA